rnacentral:lncRNA from 1 species
ACACCCGAUCAUCCAGAGAGAUUUGUGGACGAUCUCGACUGUCGAUUUGCCAACGAAGCCCGAUCGCCACAAAACCGGUGCCAUCGCGAAGCUUGAGUUGAGGAGAGUCGGGAUACGUCCUCCGAUCGUCCAUCCUCCGCCGGAUCUCGCCGGAAAAAUCCAAAAACGCCGGCUGCCACCAUUUUCUCUCUCCACCGGAUCUUCCGUUUCCGGCCACCACUG